rnacentral:rRNA from 1 species
AGCAGCCGCGGUAAUUCCAGCUCCAAUAGCGUAUAUUAAAGUUGUUGCAGUUAAAAAGCUCGUAGUUGAAUUUCGGGAUCAAUAUUUCGGUCAUGCCGUUGGUAUGCACUGUUAUCAUUGAUUUCUCACCUUCUAAAGAACCGUGAUGCCAUUAAUUUGGUGUUACGGGGAAUUAGGACUGUUACCUUGAAAAAUUAGAGUGUUUAAAGCAGGCUCACGCUUGAAUACAUUAGCAUGGAAUAAUGAAAUAGGACAUCCGAUUCUAUUUUGUUGGUUUCUAGGAUCGAUGUAAUGAUUAAUAGGGAUAGUUGGGGCAUUAGUAUUCAAUUGUCAGAGGUGAAAUUCUUGGAUUUAUUGAAGACUAACUACUGCGAAAGCAUUUGCCAAGGAUGUUU